rnacentral:lncRNA from 1 species
AGCCCCUCACCCACAGGUGACUGUCAAGCCUUUGUUCCCUUUGCUGCCACUGAAGCCAGACUGGCGCAUCUGAGUAGGUUUCUGGGCUCUCUCCUACCUCUAUGAAGUAAUUCUAGGCUCACUGAGAAGUGACUCCUCCCACUACAGCUCACCCCCUAAUGCAUCAGGCCCACAACUGACCAGAAUAGACUUCCUUUCUCUUUUCUGUCUGCUCCCUAUGGAGCAGUUGAGAAGGUUCAUUUGCAUACAUCUUCAUUUAUUGUCCUUCCAAAGCCUUUGAUACCGAGCACGCUAAGAUGGGUAUCCUCAUUUUACAAAGAUCAAGGCAGAGAGAAGAGAAGGGACUCGCCUAGGAUCACACAAUUGACAUGUCAUCGCUGAGACCAGCAGUAAAUACACAGAUGGAUAAGACUCAAAAGAACCUACAAAUCCUGUACAAUGAAAUCACGUGGCAAGAAUGUGGUUAUUCUGAGAAACAGAAUAAAGCAGCAUUUUGCUGUGCCUUUUCACACAGCUGCCAAUCAAUGGUACAUGCUGGCAUACUUUCAGAAUAGCUGCUCUGUUUAACCCAAUGACCCAGAGGCAGCAAUUUGGAGCUUAGCAAGUCACAUCCCAUGACAUCCAGGAUGCCCUCUCCACCUACCUGCACCCAGUCAAUCACCAAGUCACAGGGAUUUCACCUCUGGAAUAAUUUCAAUCACCACCUGCAUUCCCAAUGGCUUCGUCCAGGCUCUUAUCUCUUAGCUGCACUAUAGCAGUAACCUCCUAACUGCCUCUGCACACUAUAGUCCUCCCUCCUCUGUGCUAUUAGAGUAAUAUUUUUCAAAUGCAAAUCUGAUCAUGACACUCUCUCUUUUUUUUUUUUUUUUUGAGACGGAGUCUCGCUCUGUCGCCCAGGCUGGAGUGCAGUGGUGCGAUCUCGGCUCACUGCAAGCUCUGCCUCCCAGGUUCAUGCCAUUCUCCUGCCUCAGCCUCCCAAGUAGCUGGGACCACAGGCGCCCACCACCACGCCCGGCUAAUUUUUUGUAUUUUUAGGAGAGACGGGGUUUCACCGUGUUGGCCGGGAUGGUCUCUGUCAGGCCUCUGAGCCCAAGCCAAGCCAUCGCAUCCCCUGUGACUUGCACGUAUACGCCCAGAUGGCCUGAAGUAACUGAAGAAUCACAAAAGAAGUGAAAAGGCCCUGCCCCGCCUUAACUGAUGACAUUCCACCAUUGUGAUUUGUUCCUGCCCCACCUUAACUGAGUGAUUAACCCUGUGAAUUUCCUACUCCUGGCUCAGAAGCUCCCCCACUGAGCACCUUGAGACCCCUGCCCCUGCCCACCAAAGAACAACCCCCUUUGACUGUAAUUUUCCAUUACCUUCCCAAAUCCUAUAAAACGGCCCCACCCCUAUCUCCCUUUGCUGACUCUCUUUUCGGACUCAGCCCGCCUGCACCCAAUGAAAUAAACAG